CUGAAUUCCUUCUCCCAGGAAGAAAAGGACCGAGGUCCUCUCGCCACCAAACUGAAGCUGAAACCUCAGACACUCAGUUCAUCAUUUGAAUGGUAUCAAGAAUAUGAGAUGGUGUGAGGAUGAUGGGAGAAAGGGCAUCUGUUGCUUGUUUUGGUUCCUCCUGAAUCCACAGUCAGUACUCAGUAGAGUAGCCAUGAUUUUAAUUAUUUUAAGAGGAAGAUUCACAAGGAUGUGCCCACAAAACACUGCCAAUUUGCAGCUGAAAAUGAUAACUGGAUUGAUAUUCCUCUUUGAGAUGCAAGCAGAUGCCUCCACCAACUAUCUCGAACCGGAAUGCCGCAGCCUCCCCUUCGUCCGCAUUUAUCCUUGGCAGGAGCACCGUCUAUUUUGGGAAGGACGAAUCCCUGAGGACACCUGCAAAGGACUGGAAGCUCUUAGCAACUCCUUGACCUGAGAGUGAGGAACCGAGUGGCGGGGAGCCCCAGGACCUGCCCAUCAUCACGUCUCUGCAGUGGCCUUGCCACAACCUGCCCGGCGGGUUCUCCUGGAUUGGGGGAAGGUCUGGACCCGUGUCCCUCGGGGGUUCUCCUAGGUCUCUUAUGGAGGAGGUGGCAGGGCAGGGAAUUGCUCAGUGACUUUCGACUCCAUUUCCAAGGCACAUGCAUUGUUAAGUGCUAAGACUUCUGUAAGAUAGUUGGAGUGGAAAAUGGAACCCUUAAUCCUAGACCCUAAAGUUCAACUCUUUCAUGAUCGCUACAAUGGGUGCUAAAGAGAAGAGAACAGAGGAAACAGUCUGGGCAAAUGUAUCCUGUUUGUUGUUAUGGGGCUUUGGUCUCAAAUCUCUGUGGUUGAGCUGAGCUAGUUUGGAGCAUGUGUCAGCUGUGAGCAUGCCCUUUGCCUGUCUAAAUUCAGGUGGAAGACGAAAAGCCUAAUGAUAAGUUCAAGGUCAAAUAAGUCUAAAUAUGAAUAAGAAGCAAUAAAGCAUAGUCCUAAAGUCAGAUGUGAAAGCGAGAGAAUGUGAUGCUUAUGGAUGAGAAAAGUGAGACAGGCCUUAUGGAAUCUCCAGCUUUCAUGCUGGACUUUGUUUGGUAUAGAACCUUCUCAGCAUGGUGCUAGGAUGCUCCCUUCUCAGGAAAUAGCUCAGACGGGAGAAACCUUGAGCUUCUCCCAGUAGCUGAAAGGUGCCUCAAACAUUCAUUACAGCUUCUUAGACAGAGUUCGCUGAGGAAAGUUGUGUUCCCUGGGGCUGAAAAUUCUAGUAGACUGUAGGUGCUUUCAAACUUUGUGGUUUUUAUUUAUUUUUAUUUUAAAAAUUUUUUUGAAAGAUACUUCUUUUAGGCAUAGAAACUUAUACAGAACUCUAAUAUGUAACUGGUUAAAAUGUAUUCUAUUUGUAUAAAUUUAUUUUAGGAACUCAAAUGCAGUGAAGCUUUGCUACAUGCACUCUUUACUGGAUAACAGUGAGGAGAGUGGGCGGGGAGAUAUCCACUCAGUGAAAAGGAGAUUGCAAACCAAAUUUCCAAAAGAAAUAAAGAGAUCAAAAAUUCA